AUUGAACGCUGGCGGCAGGCCUAACACAUGCAAGUCGAACGAGUGGCGGACGGGUGAGUAAUGUCUGGGCAACUGCCUGAUGGAGGGGGAUAACUACUGGAAACGGUAGACACUACCGCAUACCGUCCGAUCUGCCCAGAUGGGAUUAGCUUGUUGGUGGGGUAACGGCUCACCAAGGCGACGAUCCCUAGCUGGUCUGAGAGGAUGACCAGCCACAAUGGAACUGAGACACGGUCCAGACUCCUACGGGAGGCAGCAGUGGGGAAUAUUGCACAAUGGGCGCAAGUCUGAGGCAGCCACGCCGCGUGUAUGAAGAAGGCCUUCGGGUUGUAAAGUACUUUCAGCGGGGAGGCGUUACCCGCAGAAGAAGCACCGGCUAACUCCGUGCCAGCAGCCGCGGUAAUAC
rnacentral:rRNA from 1 species